GUCGAACGGUAACAGGAAACAGCUUGCUGUUUCGCUGACGAGCGGCGGACGGGUGAGUAAUGUCUGGGAAACUGCCUGAUGGAGGGGGAUAACUACUGGAAACGGUAGCUAAUACCGCAUAACGUCGCAAGACCAAAGAGGGGGACCUUCGGGCCUCUUGCCAUCGGAUGUGCCCAGAUGGGAUUAGCUAGUAGGUGGGGUAAAGGCUCACCUAGGCGACGAUCCCUAGCUGGUCUGAGAGGAUGACCAGCCACACUGGAACUGAGACACGGUCCAGACUCCUACGGGAGGCAGCAGUGGGGAAUAUUGCACAAUGGGCGCAAGCCUGAUGCAGCCAUGCCGCGUGUAUGAAGAAGGCCUUCGGGUUGUAAAGUACUUUCAGCGGGGAGGAAGGGAGUAAAGUUAAUACCUUUGCUCAUUGACGUUACCCGCAGAAGAAGCACCGGCUAACUCCGUGCCAGCAGCCGCGGUAAUACGGAGGGUGCAAGCGUUAAUCGGAAUUACUGGGCGUAAAGCGCACGCAGGCGGUUUGUUAAGUCAGAUGUGAAAUCCCCGGGCUCAACCUGGGAACUGCAUCUGAUACUGGCAAGCUUGAGUCUCGUAGAGGGGGGUAGAAUUCCAGGUGUAGCGGUGAAAUGCGUAGAGAUCUGGAGGAAUACCGGUGGCGAA
rnacentral:rRNA from 1 species